UGUUUGGAUUAUAUAUGCAUGUAGUGUAAUAUCCCCCACCACAACUUGAGGUGGGAUGAGCAGUCUCAGUUCUGCGGCUAAUUCUAGUGCCUUAAGGCGCUAAUAUUAGCGCUAAUGCUAGCGCCUUAAGGCUAGCGCCUUAAGGCUAGCGAGCAAGGCUCUUGUUUACAUCCGGGUUCCGCUGGCUCAGAGCCUUUCUCUCUAUGGCUCUGCGUUGGCUACCAGCACAGACAUGUAUACGUAGACCAAAAGUUAUGAUCGGUGUUCAAUCAUAACUUUUGGAAGAACAUCUCAAACUGGCCACAGAUGCAUGAAUGAAAGUAGUGGUGGUCAAAGGUUUUCUUUGGGUUUAUGCGAACCAGCAAGUCAGGAAGUGGAGCGGAUUGACCAUCUGACAACAACUUCCCUCGGUCACAGCAGUGUCAGACAUUGGUGGGAGGACUGUGGAUGAGGCCACAAGACGUAUGAUGUUCUUCAUCAUGGACUAUGGCCUGUCAAGGCAGUACAACUUUGUGGGCUGGAAUGGAAAGUAGGAAUUCAGGACUUUAAAUCUGUUUGAAGUCAUAUUUGAAGCUUUAAAGAACAACACAUUAACCAGACAGAUCACCAGGAAGGAUUUGGAGAGGGCAGUGUCGAAAUGGCUGAUCGGAUCAAGGGACAGGGGAUGCAAUAGAAAGGUCCAACAGGUCCCUCCUUCCCAUAUGAUGGACCAUGUUUUUUGUGUUCCAUGUUCUUUUUUGAUAUAUAACUAGUUUCUUAAAUUGUUAUAAUGGUUAUUAUAUUACGUAUAAUAUCGUAUGUGUGUGUGUGUGUAUUAUGUACCUGAUACGUAAAAUACAAUCUAUUAUAUCUAUUAUCUAUUAUAAGUAAGGCAGCAUUGGAGGAAUCUUUAGAACCUGCACAGUGUUUGAACUGUUUAGAAGCAGUAGAGCUUUCUGAGCUAUCUAAAAUCUUAG